UACGUAGGGUCCGAGCGUUGUCCGGAGUUACUGGGCGUAAAGCGUGCGCAGGCGGUUUGUAAGUCUGUCGUGAAAUCCCCGGGCUCAACCUGGGAAUUGCGAUGGAGACUGCAAGGCUCGAGUCCGGGAGAGGGGGUGGAAUUCCCAGUGUAGCGGUGAAAUGCGUAGAUAUUGGGAGGAACACCGGUGGCGAAGGCGGCCCCCGGACCGGUCACUGACG
rnacentral:rRNA from 1 species